UGGGGAAUUUUCCCCAAUGGGCGCAAGCCUGAGGGAGCAACGCCGCGUGGAGGACGACGGCCUUCGGGUUGUAAACUCCUUUCGGGUGGGACGAUGCUGACGGUACCACCAGAAGCAGCCCCGGCUAACUCUGUGCCAGCAGCCGCGGUAAGACAGAGGGGGCAAGCGUUGUCCGGAGUUACUGGGCGUAAAGGGCGCGCAGGCGGUGGGCUGCGUCGGCGCUGAAAGCGCCCCGCUUAAGGGGGCGAG
rnacentral:rRNA from 1 species